AACGAACGCUGGCGGCAUGCCUAACACAUGCAAGUCGAACGAGACCUUCGGGUCUAGUGGCGCACGGGUGCGUAACGCGUGGGAACCUGCCCUUAGGUUCGGAAUAACUCCCCGAAAGGGGUGCUAAUACCGGAUAAUGUCUUCGGACCAAAGAUUUAUCGCCUUUGGAUGGGCCCGCGUUGGAUUAGCUAGUUGGUAGGGUAAAAGCCUACCAAGGCGACGUUCCAUAGCUGGUCUGAGAGGAUGAUCAGCCACGCUGGGACUGAGACACGGCCCAGACUCCUACGGGAGGCAGCAGUGGGGAAUAUUGGAGACUGGGCGAAGGCCUGAUCAAGCAAUACCGCGUGAGUGAUGAAGGCCUUAGGGUUGUAAAGCUCUUUUACCCGGGAUGAUAAUGACAGUACCGGGAGAAUAAGCUCCGGCUAACUCCGUG
rnacentral:rRNA from 1 species